AGAGCGAACGCUGGCGGCAGGCCUAACACAUGCAAGUCGAGCGCCCCGCAAGGGGAGCGGCAGACGGGAGAGUAACACGUGGGAACGUGCCCUUUGGUUCGGAACAACACAGGGAAACUUGUGCUAAUACCGGAUAAGCCCUUACGGGGAAAGAUUUAUCGCCAAAGGAUCGGCCCGCGUCUGAUUAGCUAGUUGGUGAGGUAACGGCUCACCAAGGCUACGAUCAGUAGCUGGUCUGAGAGGAUGAUCAGCCUCACUGGGACUGAGACACGGCCCAGACUCCUACGGGAGGCAGCAGUGGGGAAUAUUGGACAAUGGGCGCAAGCCUGAUCCAGCCAUGCCGCGUGGGUGAUGAAGGCCCUAGGGUUGUAAAGCCCUUUCGGGCGGGAAGAUAAUGACGGUACCCGCAGAAGAAGCCCGGCUAACUUCGCGCCAGCAGCCGC
rnacentral:rRNA from 1 species